rnacentral:piRNA from 1 species
UGGAUUUUUCAGCCCAGCCUACCAUUAAG